rnacentral:lncRNA from 1 species
AAAAAACGAAAGAGAAGAGCUCAGGAUGCUCUCCCACUCCUCGGCCUGACCCCCGAUGGCGAUUACGGGCCACCACCUCACACGCCUCACGCGCCACCAUGCACGGUGGUCAGAGGGUUAAAAACCCUCGUCUUUUCAAGGCAGAAACUCAAGUAACUCUUUACCUUUUAAACGUUAUUAGUUUAUGCAAAAACAUUUCAUAUAUACAUGCAUUCAAAAAUAAAGAACACAAUACACGAUUAAAUCACCUUUGUCGAAACUAUUUGGAUUUCUCUGAAUGAAUAUAUGUAGGUAUGUUUUUUAUUCUCCAAAAAUCCGGAUCCUUUUACAUUGUUUGAUUCGGGCUUUUAUAGCCACAGCUGUUGUUACAAAAACUAGGAAAGAAAUCUUUUUAUAUCUUUCCAUAUUUGCUUUGCUUGCUGCUGUGGCUCUUUCCUUCUUUUGCAGGUAUCGAGAAAGAUUUAGCAACGAUGAACAUCGGCGUUGACUCGAGCAUAGACCACGGCAUGAUUCGAAACCUGAAAUCACGGCCUGGAAUCACGGUGUUGAUGGCGCAAGACGAACCGACGCAUUGAUUGCAGUGUUUAACUUCUGGAGCCUUCCAUUUGCGGCGCCUAGGGUUUCUGAAACCCUAGGUCUCUCUGCUGUCUGUUUAACAAAUUGGGCCACUUGGGCCUCGUUUGUUUUUGGGUCUGGGUAUAAACGGGUUUUUAGGUAGUUUAACUGGGUCAUGGGUGUAACGGGUUAUUGGGUUAGUCUACUGUAGUUUAAGUAUUGGGUUAAGUUUGGCUGAUGGUUUAGGUUAAAUUGGGCUACAGAUGUAUUUGGGUCUGCUGGGUAGGGUCACGGGUAGUGCUUUUGAACCAAAAACACUUGGGUUUUGUGAUUGGACUUUUAAAUGAAC